UGGUGGUGACUUUGGCCGUGAUGGUUUUCUUUGGACGCGUCUCGGCCGUUAUCUGUUUGUGCUUUUGCUUCUACAUCGCGCCACUUUUGAGCGUGGUAGAGGAUGAUGGCUCCAGCCGCCAAGGAGUGGGUUCAAGAGAGGUUGACAUGGAUUCAGGGGAGUACAAGAAGAGAGUUAUAUUGGAAGGCUUGUUGGAAAGGAAUGGUCGGAAGCCAUCAGGUUUUUUAGUUGCCAUGGGUGCGUUGCAGAAAAGAUAGUUUUUUUCUUUUUUAAAAAAAUAUUAUUGUAUAUUGUUUUUGAAAUUAUGUUUGAUUUAUGAUUUUGGGAUAUACUGAGGUGUAAAUGAACAUGUAUGUGAGAAUUAUACAGUUAGAAGAAAUCUAGUUCAUGCAUCACACACCAUUUCUUUCGAAUCACCUUGUUAUUUUGCUAUACGGAAGAAAUAAUGACUGAAACUCUUGCCUCUUCCAAAUUAUUUGGAUCAAGAAUUUAUUUAUUCCGUUACGGUAUUGUGACCAAACUUCAUAUAUUGCCCUCAACAAAAGAAAAAAAAAAGUCAGUGACCACCAGCAAUGAAAAAAUAAUCAUUGUAUUUAUUGGUUUUGGGGACCAAGUGAUCUAAUGAAAAUACAUAUUGAUGAUAUAGAUUGCAACAAGCUAAUAUAUUAUACUUCGUUCCCUUUAUCCAAGUCGUAUACUCGUAUGUGUCAUUAUGUAUACAUACAUACAUAAUAUACAUAUAUAUAUAUAUAUAUGUAUGUAUAUAUAUAUGUGUGUGUGUGUGUGUGUGUGUGUAUGUAUGUAUGUAUGUAUGUACAUACAUAUACAUACAUAUAUACAUACAUAUAUAUAUAUAUACAUACAUACAUAUAUAUAUGUAAAGAUAUAUGUAUAUGUAUACAUACAUAUAUAUGCAUAUAUAUAUGUAUAUGUGUGUUGCCCAAGAAGACAACCUAAGAGGGGGUGUGAAUUGGAUUUUAAGUAAUAGUUGCAAAUUAAAAACUUAAUGAGUAACUAAUUAAACUUUAUUGCAAGUGGAUUAAUUAGNNNNNNNNNNNNNNNNNNNNNNNNNNNNNNNNNNNNNNNNNNNNNNNNNNNNNNNNNNNNNNNNNNNNNNNNNNNNNNNNNNNNNNNNNNNNNNNNNNNNNNNNNNNNNNNNNNNNNNNNNNNNNNNNNNNNNNNNNNNNNNNNNNNNNNNNNNNNNNNNNNNNNNNNNNNNNNNNNNGUGUGUAUAUAUAUAUAUGUAUAUGUAUUUAUAUAUAUAUAUAUGUAUAUGUAUAUAUAUAUAUAUAUGUAUAUAUAUAUGUAUGUAUAUGUGUGUAUAUAUAUAUAUGUAUAUAUAUAUGGUCGGGCCGAUUUUGGGUAGGGUUGCGGGCUAGGCUCAAGCAAUUUUGGAUCAGAUUUGGGCUUACACUUAGGACCUGUAUAUAUUUUAGGCUAAGUUCACGUAGUUAUGUGACCCGACCGAAGACUAAACCUAGAUUCAGGCUCGAAACCGGACCACUAUCUGGCCCAAGGUCCGGCCCAAAAACUUAGAUUAGUGGUAUGGUUCCAUCUAAAUCGAGGCCAUUGGGUUUGCUGGGUGUUCUUUCAAAGAGUCUCGAUCCUUGAAGCUUGUCCCUCGUCACUGGUAGCCGGUCGUUAGUCGUCGGUCAUUAGUCCAAGAAAGGCGAAAACGAGCCUCCUAUUGUCGAGAUUAUUGUUGCUUGGUGAGCGAUAUCCCAUUUAAUUACACAAAGAGAAAAAACAAGUUUGCGAUAGGAUUUUUUGCAUGAAUAUGCUUCUAAAAUUCAAAUUUGCGUGAAUACCCUCUCAAAACUUAUAUUUAUUUCUAUACCCUCAUAAAAUACUGUUUUUGCAUAAAUGCCUCUAAUAUAACGGUUCUUCUAACAUCGUUAAUAAAAACCAUAUUUAUUUUAAUUAAAAAUAAAAUAGAAUUUUGAAAUUAUUUUUUUUGUACCCCAUCGUGAUCGCUUUAUAAAUGUUUUAAAAAGCACAUCUACCCAUUAAGGGUAUUUUAGUCAUUUUAAUUUUAAAUUGUUAAUUUUUUAACAGUGUUAGAUGGCAUGGGUACACAUGUAAAAAUAAGAAUAAAAAAAGGCAAAAGUAAAACAAGUGUUUUACAAGGGUAUACAUGUAAAUAUUACUUUUGGAAGAGUAUUCAUGCAAAAUUUGAUAUUUAGGGGGAUAUUCAUGCAAAAAAACUCUUUGCGAUACCAUUAUAAGAGAUUGCAUUUCCGCAACAACUCUAAUAUAAAUGGAUAAUUAAAAUAUAUGAAGAGACUAUUAAAUAAACUUAUUUUGAAGAAACAUAGAUAUAUAGAACUAGGGUUGGAAGUGGGCCCGACCAGUUUGAAGCUUAUCUAGUCAGGCUGAUUUUUGGUAGGGCUACGGGCUAGGCUUAAAUAAUUUUGGAUUUGAUGUAGGCUUAAAAUUAGGGGCGGUAUUUAUUUUAGGUCGUGUUCGGGUAGCUAUGUGACUUGUAGAUUGAGCCGAGGUUCAGGCCCAGAGUCGGACCACCAUCUGGCCCAAGGUCUGGACCGGAAAAACUUAGAUAAGUGGUCUGGUUCUGUCUAUAAAUCAGGGCCGUUGGGUUCGCUGGGCUGUUAUCUUUCGAAGAGUCCCGAUCCCUGAUCAAAAUUAUCGGUCAUCGGCUAGGGUUCUCGACCUCGUGUCUCCGCCUCCACCGCCUCUCUGAUCCCUGAAGCUUGUCCCUUGUCGCCGGUGGCCGGUCGCCAGUCGUUAGUCGUUGGUCCAAGCAAGUUGAAGGCGAGCCUCCUAUCAUCGGCCGACUGCAGUUCCAUUGAGGUACCAUGAUCUCUCCCCCCUCUCUCUUUCGUCUUCAUUUUCGUUUGGGCCUAUUGCUACAUCACCGUGAUGUCUAAUGGCCGGCUUCGGUUCAAUCACCAUGAUUGGCCCAGUCCGGCCAGCCUCCCGUUAAGUCGCAUUCUGUAGGGGGCCAAACACCACCUCCACCGCCAGUCCCGUCGCCACCACCACCUCCUUAAGAACCGGUGGCAGCAUCACCUUCUUCUUGCCGCCGCCGGACUUCCUGGACCAUCGCUGCUCUGCCUUCUUCCCAGUGCCGCUCCGGUAUUUGAGACGGACCCGAGCCAACCGGUUCUCGAAGGUGGGGUCGGCGGUGGCGGAUGCCCAAGGUUCUGCCGGGGUGGUGGAGGAGGAAACUUUCUCGGGCUUGGGAUCGUUGGCGAACGCAUGAGGGUCGAGGGGGAGGGGUUUUCUUCUUCUGGUAGUAAGUGGGGAGGAAUUCAGGUUGCAAGGGAGGAAUGGAUUGGGGAUUUGGAGGGAUUUGGGGACGACGCCGACCAUCCUCUCCUCCUAUUCCUUUUCUUUUACUUUUUUUUCCCAAUGUAUUUCUUCCUUGCAAGUUUGUAUUUAAUAGAUUUUUGUAGUGACCAAUAAUGCGUUAUUGCAACACAAUGAAUUUAAGUGGGUGUUUGGUAUGGGGUGAUCGUCUUAGGAUUAAAGAUGAUGUGGGUAGAGGUGAUGAGAUCACUAUGUUUGGUUGAUUCUACAUGGCGGUGAUCCUAAAUCACCUCCACUCUUCUCAUCACCGCCCAACCCGGUGAUGAGAUAUCCGUCCUUGAGGUUGGAAAUCCAAGAUCAUCCCAAGACAGUGAUCCUGGAUUAAAAGUUAAAGACAAAAUACCCCUCAAUUUAGCAAAAAAAUUAAUAUAUCAAUAUACCAUCAAUAUAUUAUGUCAAUAUUAUAUAUAUAUAAAAUAUUAUGUUGAUAUUAUAUAUUAUAUUAAUGAUAUAUAUUAUAUUAUAAUAUAUUACUAAUCAUAUUAUUAUCAUAUUAUUAUUGAAGGAUAAUUUUAAAUUAUAGUAGAAAUAUAUUAUUAUAUUUUAUAUUUAUAUAAUAAAAAUAUUUCAUAUAUUACUCCUAUUUACCUUAUUUUUGUAAUCAACAUAAUUAUUAGUAUUAAAAAAUCUAUUAUAAGUAUAAAUAAAAAUAUUAAUUAUAUAAUGAAAAAUAACAUAUUUUUAUAAGAUUAAUAAUUUAUAGGAGUAAUAAAUAUAUUUUUAUAGAAUAUAUUAAUAAUUAAUAUAUUGAUAAAUAUAUUAAUAUUUUAUUAUAAUAUAUUUUAUAUGAUUAAUAAAUAUAUGAUAAGGGCUACUAAAAGUAGAAUAUGUGAUAAAAUUAUGGAGCUAUUAUAGGAAUUAGCAUAUUGACUUAUAUUUUUGAUUCAUAAGAAUUAAAAAUACAUAAAAAAUCAUCUAAGAUAUAUCAGGGGUAUUUGUGGUAUUAUGUGGUCGGUGAUCUUGGAUCCCCAUACCAUACCAAACAAGUUACUCAUGAAUAUCCGGAUAUUUUUAAUCACUGGAUCAUGGCCUACCAAACACAUUGAUCUUAGAUCACUGGGGAUCAAAUUACCCCGGCAUUCGGAUCAUCGGAGAUCUUAGAUCACCGUGGUGAUCCUGUUGGGGUUACCAAACACCCCCUAAGAGAUGGCUUUGUUUGUCAAUCCCUCUUCCACCUGCGGGUCACUCGCUAGGAAAGCUAAAAAAAAGUUUUAUUUAUGUUCUGUAGUUCAGGGGCAUGUGAUCUAGCAAUUUAUACAGAUCAGUGUCUGUGAUUUCUUUCAAUUAGUUGUAUAUACUCUUCCUGAGUGAAUAGUCCUUAUCAACUUCUGAGGUAUUUCAUAAAUUAUAUUGUUGAUCAUCAACAUCUCAAGUAGUAGGAUGACCGCUGAGGGAGGUUGAGGUUGAGAGCCUAAGCCAGAAGUCGCUUCAUCCCUUUUCUUGUCUCUCCUCUCGCUUCCAUUGUAUCUGCUGAGCUCCCCGGGCUUCAUUAAUGGUGAUUCAGAAGAUUUGAAGGGUAUUUGACGAGAGGUACGCACAGCUCUCUCUCUCUCUCUUCCUCUCUAUAUCUCUCUAUUUGAUGGGAACAUCGGAGCUGAUUAUUUAUCCGCCUAGUCCACCAUCUUAUUUGCAUAUUUAUGUUAUUUUUAUUUCUGGGCUUGUUUGCAUUUUAGGGCUUAUUUGAGUUAUUUGUGGGCUUAUUAGGAGUUAUUUCUUUGUAAGGGGGUUUUAUGUUAAUUGUGUUUAUUUGGGCACUAUAUAUAGAGGACUAUUUUCAUGAUUAGGUUUUGAUGAAGGAUUAAAAGUUUCUCCCCCAACCUCUCUUCUUCUAGUCUCUCUUCCUCCCCUCCUGUCCUCUUCUCCCUUCUCUCUUCUUCUCCCUCUUCUCCUCUUCUCAGCCGCUCUUCCUCCUUAUUCUCCUCCUCUUCUCCCUCCCGGUUCCUCUGUAUCCUGGUUUUGCAGAAGCAACAGUCAUCCGAGUUGAUCCGUCACCGCUUCAGCUUGUCUCCCUCCCGGUCCGGCAUCAACCCUAGUCAUCCCGACUUGGACUGUCACCGUGCUACAGCCUUUCUCCCUUUUGGUCCAGCACCAACUUGAUAUAAGAGUACCCUGGUUUUGCCUCUGCUGCCAAAACUAUCUUCUUCUCUGGGCUGCAGUGAAAUAGUACUCCAAAAAAAAACAGGAACCGUUUUUCGUUAGCUGGUUCGUCCCCCGUCGUCGCACUUGAGCCCACCGCUGCCAUCAGUCGCUGCCGGCACCACCUGAAUCGCCUCACAACGCCGCCGCACCACUAAUUUCUACCGGAGAAUGUCGGCCCACAGAAGCGCCACCCUGGUGUAUGGCGGAGCAGCAUCGGAUUUCAGGAUUCCGGUGGGCACACGAGAUCUUCACUGUACCCCGAGCGCCACGGAUGCCGGAGCGUGUUGACGGGCCACACGCAACUUGCAUUGCCAAAAAGAGAAGGAGCAUCGCCUCUCUUCUUUCGACUCUGUCUCUCAGACCCACCAUAGCAGCUGCCGGCCACCACACACAGGAAGAGAGCCGGGAAGACAACACUAGUGAGAAGAGAACCAAUGUCGGAGCGGGUGACCGGUCGCCGACCACCACCACUGGCCAUCGAGAUCCACCUGCAACCGCUGGCGUGAACUUCGGCACGAUCGGCCACCGAGAACCACCAGCAGCCGUGGGCGUAAAUCUUGGCACGCUCACUUGAAACUGUCAGUGAGUUUCAAGUUGGUUAACGGAUAAGAUCUAAACCCGUUAACCCUCGUUCAGUAACCCGGAUCCGUUCUAGGAUAUUUAAAGAAAAGAAAGAAAAAAAAAUUGCACGUGAUCUGUACGUGCUAGAGUUAACAGGUAUCGGAGCGGGUUGCGACAAAAAAAAAACUCGAACCCGAUAACCUGAACCCGUAAAGGUUCAGAAAAAAAAAGGGUAGCAUGUGCCUUGCACGCGAAAAAAAAAAGAAAACCCUUACCUCUGUUCGUCGUCCCGAUUGGCCGCCACGUCGCCCCUUUGUCGGGAAUGCCAUCACUUCCUCCGAGCGCCCCCUCCGGCUUCACCGCCUCUUCUGAGCACACCGAACCGUCGCCGCUUGACCUCCGGUGACCAAGCCGUCGUCGCCUCCCCAGACAAGCAGCGUCGCUGCACCGGCCAACCUUCCCCGCCACUACCGAGCCCCGUCAAGCGCUCCUUCGGCCGCUGCCUCCUCCGAGUAGACCGCCUGCAGCGCCCGUCGCCGAGCCCUCGUUCGAGCCGCUCCCAUCCAGCUCUCCUCUCACCCGCUAUUAGGGGACACAUACCCCUUUUUCCCCGUGUGCCAGCCGAGAGGUGGUAUCAGGCCACACCUGAGCCGACCAGUUUGACCCCAACUCCUCUUCCGUAGGCCACUAGCCCAAUUCCCUUUCGUCUCCUUCCCUUUCUCCCGUGUGCCGUUGACUUGAGCGCGGCCCAAGCCCAAUAGGCCACAGACCUUGUUUUAGGCCCGAUCCAGCGCCUUCUUCGGUCCAUUUCAGAAGCCUAGGAGCCUUUGUGCUGCAGAUUCAGGUCCAUAGCUCCAGCUAGGGGUGGCAAAAUAUGACCCGACCCGUAUUCGACCCGCCAUAAACAAGUUUGGGUCGUAUACAGGUUGACCCGUUUAACAUGUUUAUUAAUUGGGUCGGAUGCAGAUUUUAGAUGUCUGAUCCAUUUAACCCGUAUAACCUGUUGGGCGGAUAGAUAAAGGCCACAACCCACAAAAUAAGGCUUAGGGCCGGCCCAAUUCCCCGCCUCGGCCCAACCCUCCGCGGCCCGCAUCAGCCUAAUUUUAAUUUCAGCGCGAGCUGAAAUCCACGGUCCGUUCUCCAAUCUCCAUUCUUAUUUCUUGAUUCUCCUUUGGGUUAGCCGGUUAGGGACCUUAGGCUUAGGGUUAGCUCUGUGCCGCCCGAGUUGCCUCUCCCUCUUCCCCUCUCCUCCGGACCUCCGCGGCUCCGCCUCCGCCCUCUCCUCUCCCGUGCCGACUACUUCCGCCUCCCUCGUUCCCGUUUCAAUCGCUGCGGAGGUUGAGGGCAACGCAGCGCAGGCCUCCUCGGCUCCUCCUCCUCGCAGAAGCAUCUCCGCAGAGUAAUCGGAAGAGAGGGGCGACGAGGGCACCGCCACUUCCGCCCCGCACAAGUACUCCGUCAAGAUUCUCUUCGGCAACCUCCAUGUGAGCGCUCCGCUACCUCCUUCUCGUCUCGCUCUUCCUUUCCUCUUUCCGUUUGUACUUUUCUUGUCUUCCUUAGGGCCUUUUUUCCACCUUGGGGAAGGGGAUGGAUCAUCUAGAGCAAAAAUCUUCCUUAUCGUUUAUUUUUUUGAAAACUAUGAUUUUUUUAUCUUUUGUUAUGGGGGUUUUAUCUUUUCCAUUCCAAAGGACCACAUCACCCUCCGCGAUUACGAGAUCCACGACAGCAUGGGCCUCGAGCUCUACUGCAACUAAUCUAAGGUCAUCUUGCACGAUUCCUCAUCUCAUCUCUCAUCUCCGUGGUUAUCUAUUUUUUCUCUGAAUUUCUGAUGAUCUAUUGCGUGUGGAUGACUGGAUUUUUGAGAACUGGGGCUUGAGUAUCGGAAAGCUGGUUUAUUGAAUUAAAUUGGCAAUCCUUCUAGAUUAUUGUAAUUAACUGGGGCUUGAACUGGGUCUUGAUAGUUCUUCUAAUGCUGAAGAUUUUCUUGCUGGGGAUUUUUCUUUGAAUUAGUUCCUUGUCAUUGUGUGGAGGUUAUUGUAGAUUCUUUUGCUUCAAUUCUUAUGUUCUUUUCUUCUUUUUCUCUUCAGGCAGAGGAUACAUACGAAUUAAUGGCGUGGAGAGUGUUAGGCCAAAAGGUCAGAUUUUGCCAGUGUUAGUUUGAAUAUCAUUUGCUUUACUUUAUAUAGUGCAAUUCUCUUUUGAGUAUUGCUAGCAUGCCCUAUAACAUCCUUGUUCAGAAGUGGUGCAUAUAGAGAUUGAUCUCUCGAGAUUAUUGAACUCAUGACUUGUUUAAAGGAAUUAUCUGAAGUAAGUAAUGGUGUUUCUGACCCAAUCCUGGGGGGUUAGUAGGGAAUGAUGCAUUUGACCUUCUGGUUAUCUGAAAUAUUCCAGAGGGGCUAUGACUUUGAGGUUUUGACGCUAGAACGAAAUUUUGAUUGCUUAGAAAGGUCUUUGAGUUGUUUCGUUUGAGGUAUGAUGCCAAUGUCCUAAUUAUUUGGAUAGUUACUACAGUUACUUCUUAUAUAUAUUUUGGGUACUACAAUUGUAUCAAAUUGAAUAGUGAGACUUUCUGAUAUCUAUAUCGCACCCCAGACCUGCCACACAAGCUGGGCAUGUGAUAUGGCCGUACAUCACAUAAGGCAUGAUCCUAUGAAAUUUACAAGGCCUUGAAACCUAUACAAAAGCCUAUAAAAUUGGAGACAAUAUGAACACUAUUGUUGAACAAAUAAUAGAUUUAAAAAUAGCAAGACCUCAAACAUAAUUUUAAUAUCCUGACCAAAUCUUAAAUUAACAACUUCCAUUGUCAACGAUCAUGUCCAAUAAUACAAACUAUUGAAUAGAAUCAUCCAGGUUUCAAAAUUUCUAAAUCAAUGAGUAAAAUCUAAAAAUUCAACUAGAAUUCAGUUCUACUAAUUUCUUCAUAUCUCCAACAACAAGUAAUCCCAAGUAACUCUAGGUAUCAUGCUUCUCUGAAAAUCAUUAAAAGAGAGCAUGUGAGCUUGGCAGCUCAUUAAGUAUCCUAUUAUGCAUGCACACAUCAUAUCUAUGUAAUAGAUAGUGUGAAUGUAAAUCAUAAGUAGAAAUGCAUUGUCGCAAAAUAUUCAUGCCAUGUACAUAAUUCAUUACAUACUUUCAUUAACAAUCAAAUAUAACCAUAAUUCUCCGCCCCUUGUCUAUCCCUUUCCUAGGAUGACCUGGUUUGGGUUAGUCUGGUUUGUCAAGGGCUAAGUGGAACAACAUCAGAUGGAUUUCGAGGAUGCUUUGGGAAAAUCAGGGUCGGAUAGUCAGGAGAUUAUGAGAUUAGUAAAAAAUAUUAAUUUUCUUGAGUCAGUUUGUAGUAAUUCACAAUGUGAUUUUUACGUGGUUUCUUAUAUCUAGGAGUGUUUGCAGAGCUAGGAAUCUCAACUCUACAUAUCGUAUGCUCUUUAACAUGUGGGAAAUGGUUAUGAUUUUUUCUUUUUAUUUUCCUCCUUUGAAUUUGAUUUUGGACUGAUUUUUCUGGUUUAAUAAAUGCAUAUAUACCGUUAACAAGGAUUCAUCAACUUGGGAUAAGUCCAAUGAUCAUGGUUAAGGCAAGCGAAAAUACCUUAUUUAGCUGAUCUACUCAAGUGCUUCUUAAUUACAUGUAUUUCUUUUAAUGUCAAUUUGAUAAAAUUACCAUGUCAUUUUCUCUUCUUUGUUCUCUUCAAUUACAUUCGAGAGAGAAACAUAACUGUUAGCUGCUCUUGACAUUUCUCUCUCUGUAUAUACAAAACUAAGAAUCUAACUAUGAAUGGCAUGACCUAAUAUUGCCUUCGUUUUGGUUUGAUCUGUUUUAUUUUAAAUGACAAGAUUCAAUUUUCAUGUGACUUAAAUUAGUGUACUUCCAUAGAGUUAAUUACAUUAGCUAUAUUUCAACAUAUUAAGAUUGUUAUUUAAGACAUUAUCACCUUGAAUGAAAACUCGAAUUUUGAAUUUAAAGUCAUUAGGCAUCAAUUAGACGGAAUAUGUUGGCUUCAAAUUUUUUUUUUGACAAUGCAAGGAUGUUGUGUGCUAAUCAACCAAAGCAUUUGUGAUGUAGGGUGAGGAGCAAUAGUAAAAUAGUUCCUUUUUUUUUUGCUUGCGCAUUUAGUCGACAAUAAUCAGCUUUCAAAUAGCUAAUAUGAAUAUAUGAAUUAAUUGGUUGUAAAUAGACAGCCACCUCCUUCCUUCAUGUUAGCUUACGAGCCUUAUUUUUUACUGUACUUAAUUCUUUUUUAGGGUCUCCAUGCGAGGUUACUAGAAGUUUUUCUAUCCACAACUCGAGGAGGUGUGGCGCAUUUUUUCUCUAGUUCACUUGGAAGGAUACCAGGUAAGUCACAUCCACUUGAUGCAUUUCAUGCAAUUAAUCUUCACUUCAUAUGUUCAUAGAGAAAAUUGAAAUACAUAUGAACUUCUUUUAUCUGUCGCUAAUGAUUUUGAAAUUAUUUUGAUCAUUAUGAUUUGGAAUUUUGCCAUGCUGUGAAAUAGAUAAGGGAAUGUUCUGGCUCCAAUGAAGCAAGUUGGACUUCAGAGUUUCAGCUAGGAGUACAUCAAGUCAAGUUUAUCGUAUCUGUUGGCCAUUUAUACUAAUAUUUUGUCAUUUAUUCAUUUCUUUAAAAGUUUGGAAGUAUUUUCUAUAUAUUUGACUUAGAUUUUUGGACUUUCGAGAAGAUUUGGAAAAAUUGGAACUAAAAGUUGGAGGAAAAGUAAAUUAUGACUAAUGUUUGGCUAACCUGUUUGGACUAUUUCAGCACAAAUGCUGCCAACGUAUAUUACAUUCUUGACUAUUUAAAUUAAGAAUUUACACUAUUAAUUAUCAUCUAGCAAGGAUUAAACUUAAAGUUUCAGAACUGGUACCCAUCCCCGGUUUGCUUCUGGGUUAGUAUCGUAUCUAGAUAGGUUGCAACAUAUUAAAACAAACACGUAGAAGAAGAAUGAAGAGAAACAAUGAAAGAAAAAUUGUCUUCGAAUACCAAGCUGUCCCAAGUGCUGGGGUCCUGCCUGGUACUGACCAGAAUGGUCUAUAUGUCUUGGUCCAUAAGAAAACUGUGUCCUUAAGGCAGUCUCCAUGUCGUUCUCUUGUCGGGAUGGUACAGUACAGGCGGGAUGUAGUGGGACUGUUAGGACAUGGAUCCUUGCGAUCUAGAAUAUUUUAACAGGAUUUAAAACCAAAAAUCAUUUUGUUUGGGGUUUUUUGAUACCUGUGGACCAAAUGGUAAUAAAAUAAAUGGUAUCAGUCGAGCUAGGUUUUGAAAUGCAUGGUGGACCUUAUUCAAAGCCACAUUAUGCUUUGAUUGUGAACCAUACACCUAAGAAAUACAUACAAGUUAUGAAGUUCAAGUAUGUCACUUUAUUUAGAGGUUAUGCAUCAUAAUUAUGAUUAGUAAAGUCCAAUGGGCUAUUGGGUAACUAAUUAGCUAAGCAUCAGUGAGUUGCCUUGCCUGUGUUUUUAUUCUAUGUGAAUUCACAUGCCUUUCGUUGCAUGGCAAUAGACUUGGUGAGAGAAGUGCUGUUAACAUUGCUGUUCUAUUUUAUCUCACCUCAUUUUGUUUAUGAGGUUGGCUGUUUUUAUUUUGGAAUAUUUGAAAAGUUGGGGAAUUUGUAUUACAAUAAGUAACGAGGAAAGUUUGGUUAGUGUUUGGAAAAUUAUCAUAAUUGGAAAAUUAAAAAUUUGUAGAUAGAUUAUCUAUUAUUAAAAAGAGUAUGCAUAAAACAAUGGCCAUGAAUGGGACAAAUGUUAAUAGAAAAAUAUAGCAAUGCCUAGCAAACAACAGUAACUGAUUUUUGAAUCCGAAGGGCCAUGUUAUGAAUUUUUGUUGAAAAUGUCAACUAUUUAGUAAUACUUCAUUGCAUAUUCAUCCAUUUCAUCAAAGAUUUAUUUUGGAAAAUAUGAUAGGACAACUACUCCCAAAGCCACAUGUGAUGCAUUAGGCUGACAAGUGAAUAAGUCAUUUGCUUUGCUUGAAAUUCAGCUUGAAAUUAAACAUGUCCUCUUAUAACUUUUGAGGCUGCUGCCAGCAUGCCACCAUCACCAUCGCCACUGCCACCUCCAUCGCCACUGCCACCUCCACUAUGGUCAUCAUCAAUGCUACUACCACUGCCAUCGCCAUCAUUGACGCCAUUGUCACCACCGCCAUUGAUGUCAUCGUUGCCAUACCCCCAACCCCCGACCCCCGACCACAUCUGUGUUACCACCACUUCCACUGCUACCACUAUCAACCCUUGCCACUACCAACGCUACUGCCAACACCACGACAUGCCAAACAUAACCUAAAGUAUCAGCUUUUAGAAAGAAAAAAGAGCAAUCGUUACCAAACAGGUUUCAGUUUUCAGUUAUCAAAAAGAAAAAAUAGAAACCGAGCUUUUGUUUUCAGUUUUUAAAAACUGCAAGUUGAAAUGGUGCCAAAUGCAGCCUAAUAAUUGGUGUUAUGAUUUUUGAUUAAAGCUUGAAACUUAUCGAUAUCUUUGAUUUCUGUCUAUAAUUAGUUAUGAUAUCUCAUAUGUGCCAUAGAACUGAUGUCAUUCUUGCAUUAGAAUAUCGGAUAAUUGACUGUAGAGUGAAAUUAUAUAGCAUUUAUAUGUUUCUAACAGUGUCUAGCUAUCUGCUUAUGGAUUACUAGUAGAUGAAUGGAUUUAUAGGCAUCUUACCAUGAAGCAAAUUCCAAUUACUAAAUGUUCCACAAAGUUUAUAGGUUUAUAGCAGAAGCCUAUUGUAGCAUACGUGGAGAUAAUUCAGUACUUAUGAUAGAUAUAAUAGAUCUGACAUAUAUCAUGACACAUGUGCAUGUAGAGUAAAAUAACAUUUGAGGAAUAUGGUCAUAUAUUAUCCUCUAAUAAAACUAUAUUGUUUAUACGCAUAGUUUUUGUUACAUGAAUUAUUCCUAAUAAACCUUAAAAGGAUUCAAUUAAGUAUAUAUAUCAGAACCAUCAAACAGAGAUUAAAAUAGAUAUUUUGCUCAUCCAGGGAUUAAUGACAAAGGAAUGGAAGUGAAGUAAGAACAAGAGUACGGUCAGGGAGGCGAAUAAGUGAAAAUAGAAGAGAAGAGGCGAAGAAUAAGGUUUAUGUCUAUUUAGUAUGGCCUAAAUUCCCUUCCUAUCUUGAUGGGAAAAAGAUUAAAUUCCCCUUUGGCAUGGCGGAUAAUGAAUUGGGUGAUGUUGGUGAAGCCUAGUGGUCUCUAGUGGAGUGCUAGACCCAGAUCUGUUUGUAUUUCAAUCCCUUGCAUAGGCAUGAGCAACACCCAUCUCCCACUGCUGUAUGCAUUUCAUGUGGGGUCCAUGUGGAGGGGCCACCAUCUAUUAAUGGGCGUGGUUCAUGUAGCUUGUAAGUUAACAUACCAAACCAAAAAGCAUAAGUUAAAAACAUGAUCCGACGUGGCUAUUGAUUUAAAUAAACAAUAAAUAAGAUUUUUUGUCUGAUUUUGAAGCCUUUGAUACCACAGCAUCAUCGUUAAUGUGAUAUCUGAAUGCAUGGAGUCUAUUUCUGAUGCAUUAGUAUUUAUGCUUCUUAUUUAAAUUAGCAAAUCUCAAUAUUAUCCUGAAUUUUAGUUCUGACAAUAUUUGGUAUUUAUCUGUCCAAUGUACAUUGUGCUGCAGAUCGCCCUCUUAGUGCUAUAUUGGAAACUGCUGUUAAUGGUGGAGUUUCAAACAAUCAGUAUAUCAUCAGGUGUAUUAACCUGUCCUGACACAUUUUAUACAUUCUAACAGUAGAAUCAUUCAUUUACUUCUUUGAAAACAAGGAGGGAAAAACCCACCUGAAAUUGGUCCAAAGAAUGAAAGUCGUACAAUGGGUUUUUCUUUGGAAAGGGUUUUGUUGGAACCCACUUUAGUUUUAUCUAGAUUGUACUUGAAGUCUGAAAGAGUAUAAGAUAAGUGAGGUAUAGCCUAUUAGAAGGCUUGAGGUAGUUAAAGAAAUAUUUUAGGCAAUAGUUGAUGGAGGGUAAGUAAUAAUCCUUAUGGGAAGGUGAUUUUGGUUGUAGGUUAUAAGGAAUAUGAUUCAUUAAGUUCUCUUUGGCAAGAACAAAAAAAAUUAAGGACAAUAUAAAGGGCUAAAUUUUCUAGGGGCUAAACAUUUUCUUAUUUUAUGUUGUGAUUUUGACAGAAAACAACAAAAAGCUGGUGGAAUCCAACCAUAACCAUCAUUUUCUCUCCAACUCCUUUAUACUGCUUUAUCUUGACUAGAUGAGAAAAUUUUCAAUUUUCUUUUCUUUUUGCUUUUCAUUACAUUUCUUACAUUCAAUAAAUUUUCUUUCAUGUUUUUGUUGGAAACUAACAAAGUCCAAGGAAUGACACAGUAAUAUUUUUUUGUUAUUAUUGGAGGGUGCUUAUUGUUCAGUUUUUCAAUGACAUCAGUUAAGAGUAACUUUAAUUAUUGGAGGAUUGUGAGGUUUAACAAGAGGGUAAUUCAAUGUUUGACAAUACUAAACACUUUGAUUUGUUUAAAGGUAAGAUAGGAUGGACCUUCAAAACAAUAAUUUUAUUCUCGGGGUAAUUUGGGAUAGUGAAACAAAUUGAAAAAGCCCAGAAUACUUCUUUGUUUUCUUGUUGCUUGUUUUUUAGGGUGAAUGGACAUGUUUGAGAGUGGAAUGAUGCUAAAGUUCACACAUAGGCUGGCCUUAACAAUACAUAACACCAUCUGUGAUUUUAUCGUCGAUUUUUUUUUUCCAGAUGCCAUUGCAACCAAAAAAUGUAAUAGUAUAGUGCGAAGUAUAUGAGAUUGAACCUUGACUAAUGAUUUAGGUGUAUUUGUCCAUACCUGCCUCGGGUGUAUUGUACAUACUACUUUGGCCUGGUAAAAACACGAUAUAAGGGGUCCUUACUGCUUAUUGUGCUUAUUGGCUGAUGACUUUAUGCACCUCUGUUUCUGAAUAUGGGCUCUAGCAUGUGAUUAGGCAUGCGUUCGCGACAAACUAAUAUUGAGCAGCUCAAAACCACCUUUUUUGGAAUGAGCCUUCUCCCCUCAUUGGGUAUACAUAUUGGAGUUGGUGCUGGUGCACUAACACCACCAUAACUUUAAUAUAAGAUACAUUACUUUGAGGCAUUAGUGAAAAUAUCUAUUACUUAGUACUGCAUAUUCUGAUGUGUCUAUGAUAGUAUGAGAAGUUUACAUGGUAUUAUGUAUCUAAUAUCCAUAGAAAUGUUAUGGUAGACUUAGUCAAUCGAUUAGGAAAAUCAAGGGAAAACUAAGCCUUGGUUUGCCAUAGCUAAGGAUGAAAUUCAGAAAUUUCAUUCGUAUGGCUGCCAGUUCAUAUCAACUUCUCUUAAGUAUGAAGUAGAGACUCCAUAUCAACACUUCGAUGUGUUACAUCAUAUUAAUAAGUUGCCAUGAGAGCAUGCUUAGUUGAAACUAUGCUUUUAGGUAUUUUUUUAUUAUCUCUUCACCUAAGGGAUCCAUAUAAGCUAGCAUGGGUCAGUGUUUUGUAAACCACUUGGUGGACACAAAGUGGUUGUGGGGGUUCAUGGCAUGCAGUGGAUGGCUCAUGCAAUGGGAAGCAAGUUGAGCUCAAGGCAGGCUACUAAAAAGAUAUUAGUAUUUGACAUUACUAAGCAUCCAAUGGACGAUGUUUCUCAGAAUUUUCAUGUAUCGAAUUUAAGAUUCAAUCAUUGGUAUUAAUUAUGACUAUGUGAACUAAUCAUUUUGUUUUCUAUAGAGUCACAACUCAUAACAUUAUAUCAUUAAUAAAGCAAAAUGCUCAAACAGAA
rnacentral:lncRNA from 1 species